rnacentral:rRNA from 1 species
GACAGAGGGGGCAAGCGUUGCUCGGAAUUACUGGGCGUAAAGGGCGCGUAGGCGGGAUGGCAAGUCGGUCGUGAAAUCCCUCGGCUCAACCGAGGAACGUCGAUCGAUACUGCUGUUCUUGAGGAUUGCAGAGGAGACUGGAAUUCCCGGUGUAGCGGUGAAAUGUGUAGAGAUCGGGAGGAACACCGGUGGCGAAGGCGGCUCUCUGGGACGGUACUGACGCUGAGACGCGAAAGCGUGGGGAGCGAACAGG